UCCAUUACAUUUGGGGUUAGGCUGGGUAGAUUUUCAGAGACCCGUAUGAUGCGGUGCUGAAAUAAGCUUUGGAAUUUAAUUUUCCAACUUAAAAUUAAUCCCUCCUUACUAAAUUCAUAUCUUCAUGUUAAGUAAAAUGACACAUCGAAAGGAAAACCAUCUUCAUGUAUCGGAAAAUGGUCCACUGAAGCGUGUGAAGAAACUGUAUUUUGAUGAUGAAACACUUCCAGUGCCACAUUCUACGCACUAUUGGAGACAGACUACACAAAUAAACUACACAAAUAUCUGAAUAAUGUUAUGAAAAAGAUGGAUGAAAUCCACCUAUUACAGUUACCAGAAGCUCCUGUAGUUAGUCACCUAAUUCCAGUUUAGUUCGUUGAGAUUCUUGUGAUGGUGAAUGUUGAGGAACUCUGUGAAGUCCUAGUGUUUUAAUUGACACAAGAUUACAUGCAAAUUCAGAAGACACUAAGUAUGCAGAAUUCCGAACAGAUACAGUAAUUUUUUUUUUAAAUAAUGUGUAAUUUGGUGACAAAUUAUAGUCAGUUAUAUACAUGUAUAUGUAUGUGUGUAGCAGAAGAUUUUGUAAGGACUUAAAGGAGAAGUACUUUUUGGUAUUUCAGGGAUAAUUUUCUCCAGUUCUCCAUAAAAGCUUAUGUUUGGAUACUCAUUAGGAGUGCCUCGUAACAUUGUUUCUAGUGAGUACCCACAUAAUGUUUUAGGAUUAGAAAUAAGACAAAGUAUCCCAGACCUAUCAACAAACACUCCUCCUUAACAUUAGUCCUCUGUUUGUGUAUGAUAUAUAUAUAUCUCAUGAUAUGACAGCAAUAUCUUGCAGACACCACAGCAAGCAAAGUUUCAAUGUGAAAAUUGUUUUGAAAUAUAAUUUGAAAGAAGUCAAA